rnacentral:rRNA from 1 species
ACGGGUGCGUAACACGUACACAACAUACCUUUAAGCGGGGGAUAGCAUUGGGAAACUGGUGGUAAUACCCCAUAACAUUGCGGUGCGGCAUCACACUGUAAUUAAAGUUUCGGCGCUUAAAGAUUGGUGUGCGCCCGAUUAGCUAGUUGGCGGGGUAACGGCCCACCAAGGCUACGAUCGGUAGGGGGUGUGAGAGCAUGACCCCCCACAUGGGUACUGAGACACGGACCCAACUCCUACGGGAGGCAGCAGUAAGGAAUAUUGGACAAUGGACGGAAGUCUGAUCCAGCCAUGCCGCGUGCAGGAUGAAGGCGCUCAGCGUUGUAAACUGCUUUUGGAUGGGAAUAAUAACCUCGACGUGUCGGGGCUUGAAGGUACCAUCAGAAUAAGCACCGGCUAACUCCGUG